UAUUAAAUUAUGGUCUUUUCUUCACAUUUAGUUGCCUUAUUUUCUUUCUUCUUCACCUUCUCUCUGCUAGCUCGCGCUCUCUCUCUCUUCGACCUCUUCCAUUUUUAGUAUUUUCUACUGGAUUUCGACCUCUUCCCUUUACCAAUUCUUUUUUGGUGUUAUCGAUUACUUCUCGUUACGGAGAAAUUGAGAAAUGGCUGAUUCCUUUAUUUGGCUAUGGACGCAAUCAGACCAGUAUCUUGGCUUGGCAAACUUUAGAUGGUGAAAAUUGCUCAAGUUGGGGAAGAGGGACACCGCGUCGACUGUAAGAGAUUCUAAGCUUAGUUAUAUUGUUAAAUGUUCAAGCAUACUGUAUAGAUGCGUGUACUUUAAGAAUAAAUUAAAUGUUAAAAUUACAAAAUUUAGACCUUACCAUAGAAACUUUAUGAAACGCUUGAAAAACAGACACCUAACAAUAACAAGAAUAUAGGCGAAGCACAAAUAUAGCCGGGGGAAUAUUCAUAUCUAGGUGCUAAAGAUAGUGAAAAAAAAAAAAACCUUAGGCGAUGUAUUGUAUACAGAAAAAAGGAACCUGAAUAAAAGACAACACUUUUAGAACAAUAUUAGGUAGAAUGUGUGCGAGAUCUAUCUGAAAAUGCUACUGCCUAACUAUUCAGAUCGAUACAUUCUUCCUUUGAACCUAACGUCAUGAUUCCAGACUUUAUUAAGGACAAACCUUCUUCUUCUUCGGGGACAAGCCUUCUAACACAUUACUGAAGAUCCCUGGUAAAUGAGACUAACUCUGUUUUUCGAAUAGUUUUGUUGUUCUUUUCUACAUGCAUGUGUUUAUCAUUUGGGUAUUAGGUGAAUUGGGUAACCAACACAAUUUCUCUGCACCAAGAUGUUUGAUUUUAUGACCGAAACCGUUGGAUAACUAUUUUUAGUUUUUUACUAUUCCUUGUUUGACAGGUGUUGUACAACAGAUGAUUUCUCAAUUUCUUUUACUCUUUCUGGUCAUCACUCAAUCUAGGUGUGAGCUCAUUGAGAUGGCAGGGAAUUUUUAGAAAGCUUUCCUCAGCCUAUAGGGGACAUGGAUAGCAACAACUUUCUAUGUCAAUUUGCCCGCAGCAAUAGUCCAACAAAGCUAAUCACCACUAGGAGACAGAAGGACAGAUACAUCAGAGUAACAAAUGGCUAGGCGGCAACAAAAUAUUGCUGCUAUAACACCGAAUGGAAGUGCAAUGAUUUCCUAUUUCAGGCUUUCUCUUUCUGUGGGGAAUGUGAAGUACUUGACUAGACUUCAUUUUCGACAAAUCUAGCAAGAUGAUCCUGUGUUUCUGCUGCUGCUUCACUCUUGGCUUAUGUUUGGUCGUAGCUAUUGAUUUUUGGAAGAUACUAAAAGAAGAAGUUGGCUAAGAUGAAGGAGUAACGUGCAGUUGAUGAUGAAAGAGUAACAUGUAAUAUGGAUACUACAUAUUACUAGACAAGUUGCACCUAAAUAGAGUGGGCUUAGAUGAAAACUUGGUAUAAGGUGGAAGAAGAUGGCUGGGAGGAUGGUUCUAAUGAUGGCUGCAUUAAAAUAUGAUGCUUUUGUAGAUGCUUGUGCAGGAGAGACAUAAUCAUCUUUGGAUAAUAUUGCUAAAAUUGCAAGACCGGCAGGUUCUGAUACUUUUGUUGGGUAUUGCUGCAAUACUACUGCAAAAAAGAAGGAUUACACCAACAAAUAUUUAUGGAGUGAGACUUCUACCAGAAAAGCGUUUUCUUUUGUCUUUCUCAUGGAAGUAGGCACAAGAAUGUAAUGUUGCAAAAAUAUAUUUCAUAUCUUGUAUAACUUCGUUCCUCAAAUGUAUGUACAUAGUAGCAUUAUUAUAUUAAUAUCUAAUUAGCUUAGUAGUGUUCUUCCUUU